rnacentral:lncRNA from 1 species
UCUAUGGCGGAGUUUUGAUGCUAACGACCAUGGAUGGCGAAGGAUUCCCGUCCCCUAUUAACUCAGACACAGUUAAAAAAAAUACUUCGCAUAAAAUAGAUCCGCUGGACGAUAAAAAGAAUAGUCCGGGCAAAAAAAGGGCAUCCCGACGAACCAAAAAAAAAAGAAUAAAGAGGUUCCGGCAAAAAUUAGGGAUAUA